CCAAACUUGGUCAUUUAGAGGAAGUAAAAGUCGUAACAAGGUCUCCGUAGGUGAACCUGCGGAGGGAUCAUUAGAAAUGCUUUGUUUCUUCUCUUGCCGUCGUUCGCUGUUCGCAGCGGCCGACGCAACGAGAAACAUCAUUUCCCGGCCGCUAGAAGGUGCUCGCUUGCGGGCGUCGACUGGCAGCUGGAACUUUCCGGGGGAAUGGACGCUUCGUGCGGCCGUCCCUUGGGAAUUAUCUAUACCUAUCUUUGUCUGAAUCUUUAUCCUACACCUCCGCUGUGCUUGCGGCCGAGGGCGCUUGCGCUCUUCGACGCGACACUUCCGGAUUCGUAGCCUGAUAAUUAAAACAACUUUCAACAAUGGAUCCCUCGAUUCUCCCAUCGAUGAAGAACGCAGC
rnacentral:misc_RNA from 1 species